rnacentral:rRNA from 1 species
GAUGAACGCUGGCGGCGUGCCUAACACAUGCAAGUCGAACGGGGUUAUUUUGGAAAGUCCUUCGGGACUGGAAUCUAUAACCUAGUGGCGGACGGGUGAGUAACGCGUGAGCAAUCUGCCUUUAGGAGGGGGAUAACAGUCGGAAACGGCUGCUAAUACCGCAUACACUUAGUUAUCCGCAUGGAUGAUUAAGGAAAGAUUUAUUGCUAAGAGAUAGGCAUGCAUUCCAUUAGUUAGUUGGUGAGGUAACGGCUCACCAAGGCAUCGAUGGGUAGGGGGCUGAGAGGCUUACUCCCCCACAUUGGAACUGAGACACGGACCCAA